rnacentral:rRNA from 1 species
UAAUACGUAGGGGGCUAGCGUUGUCCGGAAUCAUUGGGCGUAAAGAGCGCGUAGGCGGCCCGGUAAGUCCGCUGUAAAAGUCACAGGCUCAACCUGUGAAUGUCAGUGGAUACUGCCGGGCUAGAGUCCGGAAGAGGCGAGUGGAAUUCCUGGUGUAGCGGUGGAAUGCGCAGAUAUCAGGAGGAACACCAACGGCGAAGGCAGCUCGCUGGGACGGUACUGACGCUGAGGCGCGAAAGCGUGGGGAGCAAACAGGAUUAGAUACCCUGGUAGUCCACGCUGUAAACGAUGGCCAUUAGGUGUGGGAGGUGUCGACUCCUCCCGUGCCGGCGCUAACGCAUUAAAUGGCCCGCCUGGGGAGUACGGCCGCAAGGCUA